AUUACCCUACGGGACGCAGCAGUGGGGAAUAUUGCACAAUGGGGGAAACCCUGAUGCAGCAACGCCGCGUGAGUGAAGAAGUAUUUCGGUACGUAAAGCUCUAUCGGCAGGGAAGAAGAUGACGGUACCUGAUUAAGAAGCCCCGGCUAACUACGUGCCAGCAGCCGCGGUAAUACGUAGGGGGCAAGCGUUAUCCGGAUUUACUGGGUGUAAAGGGAGCGCAGACGGCAGUGCAAGUCUGGAGUGAAAGCCCGGGGCCCAACCCCGGAACUGCUCUGGAAAAUG
rnacentral:rRNA from 1 species